ACCAGAACCCACUUCCCUCCUUCCGAAAAACCCAUCUCAGAUGGAGCUAGCUGGAAAAUUCUUCAAAAAUGGAAGGUCAUUUGACAUGGAGGGUAGGAGGGCCAUACUUUACUUGAGAUAUCUUUAGAGAUCAGUCUUUUAGUGAUAGUGAACUUUCCCCCUAUAAAGCACAUUGUUUUCAUCAAAAUUUAGAAUAUGACUUAACAAGAAUAUUUAUCUGAAUAUUACAGUAAUUACAAUAA